GACGAACGCUGGCGGCGUGCUUAACACAUGCAAGUCGAACGGUGAAGCGCCUUCCUUUUUGGUGGGUGUGGAUGAGUGGCGAACGGGUGAGUAACACGUGAGUAACCUGCCCCCUUCUUCUGGAUAACCGCAUGAAAGUGUGGCUAAUACGGGAUAUUCUGGGUCUGUCGCAUGAUGGGUCUGGGAAAGAUAUUGUUUCGGUGGGGGAUGGGCUCGCGGCCUAUCAGCUUGUUGGUGGGGUGAUGGCCUACCAAGGCGGUGACGGGUAGCCGGCCUGGGAGGGUGGACGGUCACACUGGGACUGAGGCACGGCCCAGACUGCUACGGGAGGCAGCAGUGGGGAAUAUUGCACAAUGGGCGCAAGCCUGAUGCAGCGACGCCGCGGGAGGGAUGGAGGCCUUCGGGUUGUGAACCUCUUUCGCCAGUGAAGCAGGCCUGCCUCGUUUGUGGGUGGGUUGACGGUAGCUGGAUAAGAAGCGCCGGCUAACUACGUG
rnacentral:rRNA from 1 species